AAAUAUAUAUUUUUUAAUCUAUUUGCAUUUUAAAAAAUAUAUUUUAUAUAUUUUCCGUUUUGUUUUUUUUGUUUUUUGUCUUUCCUGAAAAAUUUGAAGAUCUCCUAAAUCAAAUUUUGUAAGCAUAAGAAAAAAUGUCAUGCUUUGUAAAAUGUCUUUGACCUUUAUAAAACAUUUGUUUAUUGCUUUUCUGAAGUAAAUCGUGACCUCCAGGACCACCGUAGCUCUGGUAUCUCACUAAUCAGAAAAACAAACUGGAAAAUAUCAAGUAGUCUACUGCUUUACGCCGAGAUUCAUCGGUCAUUUACUGUGUUUUAAAAAGUCUCACAGUAUGAACUGAAGAAGUUCUGCUUUAGUUUAAUCUGAAAACUGUCCUCCUCACUGUUUUUUUCUUCCUCUGAGUCAGCAGGCAUCAAACGGACUGCACGGUGUGUUGUUCCACCAUGCUGCUCAAUUCAAUUAGAGCCUUUCAUGACAAUCAAUUAGGGAGUACCCCCUGGAUCUCCCCGGGGGCCUAUAAUCAUCACACACCGUCUGCUCUCUCAGACGGGCACCGGGGAGCCCCGCCCACCAGGAACAAGGACGCCUGACUGAGAACCAGAGGAGACAGUUUGUGGCUCAUUUGAAGGCGUUCAACUCCAGAUUAGGUUUAUUUCUCCUCUGUCUGUGUGUUAAAUGAAGAUUUUACUCAUUUAAUUCCUGCUUUUUAACAUUCAAAAAGCUUUUUUUAUGGAAGUUUGUGCCGCCUGUUUCCUCUUGGCUUUUGGUUGAGGAUGAAUCCUCCAGCUGGUAAUCAAAUUCAGAGGUUAAAGUUUGUUUCUGGAGCGUAUCCAAACACCACCAUGCACCCUGACUGCUGUGAUUAUCAAUGUUGUUUUUUUUACUGCGGAAGUUGUUUCUGCUGCUUUUGAUAAAGUCUGAAACACACUCACUUUAAUUUGACGCUCCAGAAAGAAUAACCAAAACUGCAGACCAUAGUGAAGCACAAUAUAAGGCCAGAGCUGAUGUAAAUGUGAGCAAACUGAAUCAAACAACCCAACAGAAUUAAAACCACCUGCAAAAGAAAUCAGACAAGACUCUAAGCUGUGGAUGCCAACACUGAGAAAGUGAAAAAUACUAAAGCAGGACCUGACGACAUUUGCUGAUAAACAUUUUGGUAUUUUUCAAACUCUUCUGGAACUAUUAAGCUGCAGUUACAUCAUUUUCUCACUAAGAUAAAGUUGUUUCACUAUGGUUUUCUUAUGAUAAUUAAGUUGUUGUAUAUUAUAAUUUACAUUACAAUAAGUACAAUAAGUUAUUAUAUUCAAUAUGUUUCUUUCAUCCUCUGUCUGACAGCUAGGAGACACCUGUGUGCUUUGUAUCAAACCACCGGAGUCCCUCAGGGGUCAAUAUUAGGCCCCCUUUUAUUUAGUCUUUAUAUGAAUGAUCUGCCCACUGUUUGUCCUGAAGCUGAAUGCUUAAUGGAUGCAGACGACACGGUUCUUUGUUCAUGGUCACACCAAAGACACUGUUGCAGCUAAACUUAUUAAAACAACGUCCUGCAUUACAACUUGGCUGCAGGAGAACUGUCUGCAGCGAAACGUUUCUAAAACUGUGGGCAUGUAUUUCACAAAAACAAAUAGAGUAUCAUCUGAUCCCGACAUACAUGUUAAUGGAGAAAGAACUCAAAUUGUCAGCCAAUAUAAAUAUCUUGGGAUAAUAACAGAUUCAGAGGUUUCCUUCAAAGCCCAUAUUGGUAAACUGUGCAAAAUAAUCAAGUUUAACCUUGUAAAUUUUUGUGCAAUUUCGCAAUAAAAUGUCAACUGAAGACGCAAAAAUGUAUUUGCAUUCAAUGAUAUUAAGCCACCUCAACUAUUGCCGAACCAGCUGGUCCCAGAGCUCAAAAAAACCAUUGGAAAUCUUGUACAAACAAGCAAUUAAAGUUCUGGAUAAAAAACCUAGGCACUAUCAUCACUGUGCAAUUUUUUUUAAGUUGGGACAGUCUUCACACAUUCGCAGACUUAAAACUGACCUAUAAAGUACUGAAUAAACUGGCUCCAGAUCCUCCAGCAGAGUUCAUCAGCCUUGAGCGUGUCACUCGAGGCUCUGCCAGAGGUGACUGUUACAUUCCUCUGCGCAGGAGCACUUUCAGGAAGUCAGCCUGGUCAGUAAGGAGUGCACGUGCGUGGAACUCAGUACCUGAGGAGGUUAAACUGCUUCCAACGUACAAGGCAUUCACAAAAAGAUUGGAAAUGUGGCUCAUCAACACCUACAGCUGCCAACACUAAAAGAUACGCCUGUUGUGAUGUUUUGAUAUUAUGAUAAAUUGUUGUGUUGUGAUGUAUUUUUUCUUAAUUGUAUAGUGAGUGUUUGAAUAUGUAUUUUGUUUUAUAGUGUACAUGUAUUGUGUUGUUUUUUUAAAUUGUAAUUUUCCUGCCUUUUCACAUCAUUGCCGGGGGACUACAGAUGAAAACUAGCCUUAUGGCUAAUUCUGGCUUUUUAAAUCAUGUGUAAUCAUGUGUUUUAUGAAAGUGCUCUGUCCCCUUUUAAAUAAACUACUCUAAUCUAAUCUAAUAAACCAC